rnacentral:rRNA from 1 species
CCUACGGGUGGCAGCAGUGAGGAAUAUUGGUCAAUGGCCGUAAGGCUGAACCAGCCACGCCGCGUGAAGGAAGAAGGAUCUAUGGUUUUUAAACUUCUUUUAUAGGGGAAUAAAGGUAUCCACGUGUGGAUAUUUGCAUGUCGCCUAUGUAUAAGCAUCGGCUAACUCCGUGCCAGCAGCCGCGGUAAUACGGAGGAUGCAAGCGUUAUCCGGAUUUAUUGGGUUUAAAGGGUGCGUAGGUUGUUUUUUAAGUCAGCGGUGAAAGUGUGUGGCUCAACCAUAAUAUUGCCGUUGAAACUGGAAGACUUGAGUGUGUUUGAGGUAGGCGGAAUGCGUGGUGUAGCGGUGAAAUGCAUAGAUAUCAGGAAGAACACCGAUUGCGAAGGCAGCCUACUAAGCCAUAACUGACACUGAGGCACGAAAGCGUGGGGAUCAAACAGGAUUAGAUACCCCUGUAGUC